AAAUGUUUUGCGCAUAUAAUAGGUUCCUUACAUACAGGCUAGAUUAAAAGUGCUGUAUGCACUGAAAAAAUGCAUAGCCAAUACAAAGCAUAAACGUAAAAUCACCUGAGCAAGAUAGUCUAUCCAAUGCGAGUUGGUAUCCAGAUCUGUAGCUGCAUCGAUAUGAGCCAACAGUGUUCGAACAGAAAUGGGCGCAUUUUGAAUUCGUUGUACAUUCAUCAAUAUCUAAAAAUUAUAAAAAAGAACUUGAAAACAGACUAUAAUUUGAUAUACAUUAUAUUACAUUUAUGAAAUAUACAGAGACAGGUGUUUUAACAACCUGGUAACACCCCAUGAUCACUUCAAGCACCGUUCAUAAUUCUAUAAAUGAUUACUGAAUGUUGAAUACUAAAGUUCGACAUGAAAGUUCUUUUAAUUUUUGCUUUCUGAUUUGUUCUUUUCUCUCUCAAAAAUCAUCCACAAAAUGUAAAAAUAAAAAUAUUUUUUAUAGAUUAAAUUAAGAUAAGAGA